GUGCUCGUGGCGGAACUGGCAGACGCGUCGGGUUUAGGACCCGAUGGCUCCGGCUAUGUGGGUUCGACCCCCACCGAGCACACCA
rnacentral:tRNA from 1 species